rnacentral:rRNA from 1 species
CGUAGGGGGCGAGCGUUGUCCGGAUUUAUUGGGCGUAAAGGGCGUGUAGGCGGCCGCGCAAGGGUGGGGUGAAAUCUCCCGGCUCAACCGGGAGGGGUCCCUGCCGACUGCGCGGCUGGAGGCUGGUAGGGGCGCGCGGAAUUCCCGGUGUAGUGGUGAAAUGCGUAGAGAUCGGGAGGAACACCGGUGGCGAAGGCGGCGCGCUGGGCCAAGCCUGACGCUGAGGCGCGAAAGCGUGGGGAGCGAACUGGAUUAGAUACCCAGGUAGUCCACGCGGUAAACGAUGGACGCUAGGUGUGGGGGGUAUCGACCCCCUCCGUGCCGAAGCCAACGCAUUAAGCGUCCCGCCUGGGGAGUACGGCCGCAAGGCUA